rnacentral:rRNA from 1 species
UGGGGAAUAUUGCACAAUGGGCGCAAGCCUGAUGCAGCCAUGCCGCGUGUGUGAAGAAGGCCUUCGGGUUGUAAAGCACUUUCAGCGGGGAGGAAGGCGAUAAGGUUAAUAACCUUGUCGAUUGACGUUACCCGCAGAAGAAGCACCGGCUAACUCCGUGCCAGCAGCCGCGGUAAUACGGAGGGUGCAAGCGUUAAUCGGAAUUACUGGGCGUAAAGCGCACGCAGGCGGUCUGUCAAGUCGGAUGUGAAAUCCCCGGGCUCAACCUGGGAACUGCAUUCGAAACUGGCAGGCUAGAGUCUUGUAGAGGGGGGUAGAAUUCCAGGUGUAGCGGUGAAAUGCGUAGAGAUCUGGAGGAAUACCGGUGGCGAAGGCGGCCCCCUGGACAAAGACUGACGCUCAUGUGCGAAAGCGUGGGGAGCAAACAGG